rnacentral:rRNA from 1 species
UACAGGGGGGGGCAAGCGUUGUUCGGAAUUACUGGGCGUAAAGGGUUCGUAGGUGGCCAACUAAGUCAGACGUGAAAUCCCUCAGCUUAACUGGGGAACUGCGUCUGAUACUGGAUGGCUUGAGUGCAGGAGAGGAACGCGGAAUUCCAGGUGUAGCGGUGAAAUGCGUAGAUAUCUGGAGGAACACCGGUGGCGAAGGCGGCGUUCUGGACUGCAACUGACACUGAGGAACGAAAGCCAGGGGAGCAAACGGG